rnacentral:lncRNA from 1 species
AUGGAAACCAAGGGAAUCAAAAUUAUCAUAGAGUUUCGGUCCAAUAUGAAAUAAUGUAUUCACCUUGGGAUGUUGCUGGGUUUAGACUUAGAGGUCUCACUUUGCCUUGUUCCAUCAUCUCCCUGCAAUGAAGGGUCCAGGAGCAAUUCAAACUCCAGAGCUGACUCUAUAAAUAAUUUUGUUUUUCAGUAGAACUUAACGAUAUGGUGAGAUGUGAGUUACUGCAAUUAACCAAAGAGCAAAUGAUGUAACUGCAAAGCAUUUUCACAUUUUUAUGGAUAAGAAAAAUUGUAUGGUAAAGCACUCUAAAAAUUGUAUAAGUUUUUCGUGCUGGUGUUUUUGUUGUCACUCAUCUCUACCAUCUAAUUUAUUUUGAAUAUCUG